GUUGAAGCAAAAGCAAUAGUAGCAGAUUAAUUGCAACAAUGUAGUAGCAAGCGAAAUGGAUAGAAAGCAGGAAACAGUCCAAAUUUAAUAACAACUCAAUUCCCAGAUAUAGAGAACCCGAAUACUUAAGGUUUGAUGGGAGUACACUUCCACAAGCUGGUUAGCUGAAAUCAAGAAGGCUGAAUAACAUAGAUCAAUCAGGUUCUUGAGAGUUAGAGUUAACAGGAAAAACUUUGUUCAGUCCGAGAUCAGGGAUUGGAGAUGACAGGCAAUCCGUUUAAACAGUCCAGUGGUUCGGUACACAAUCAAAGAGGAGCUUAGACGGCAUAAGGAACACAGAGGUAACCUAAAACAUUAACUAAGCAAUUUAAAACUGGUUUCUCUAUAAGGCAUGAGAAAG